CCCGAGCCACCAUCGCCGCGACGACCCGACGCUGCGCCCUCCUCCGAACCGACGCCUGUGACCUGCCGUGAUCUGUACUCCAUCACCCCUCUAGACGCCGAUCAAGCUGCCGGACUCCGCCACCAACGCCAGAGAAGCUGGUCCCGCUUGCCCUUGCUGCCGCCCCGUUCCUGCCGGUCCGCCUUCGCCGGAGUUCCCGGUGACCAGCCGCACGAGCUGCCGAGCUUUUCUUUUAGAAGCAAAGGAAAAAGAAAAAGAAAAAACAAAAGAAAAAGAGAAAAGCAAAUUAGGUAGUUUGUUUUUUUCUUUAUUUUAUUAUUUAUUCAUUUUAAAUUUUGUUAUUAUUGUUUAAGUUAGAAUAUGAUUUGUCAAUAUUAAUAUCUG
rnacentral:lncRNA from 1 species